CUCAUUUUGGCAGAUCAAAAAUUGCAAAAGACUUAGAAUCUUAUUAACCUAUC
rnacentral:tRNA from 1 species